UUGUAGUAGGCAUGGCACAAUUUGGGGUGGGGGGAAGGAGCUUCUCUGAGCAGGCCCUGAGUUGCCCCUUGCCCCUGGAGGGUUUUGUCUUUUUAAGAAUUUCCCAGUCUAGAAUCACCCUAUUUCCCUUUCGUCCCAUUCAUAAGUUUAUUAUUACUAUUAAGAUCUCUUGGCGUCCAAAAUUUUAAAACUCCUGUGAACCGAACCCUAUUUCAAAUAUGCCUGGGGAGGGGGGCUGUGAGGAGAGAGGGGCACAGCCAAGUCCUGGGUAGAAUGAGGAUCCUUUAAAAGUCCGAAGCACGUGAUCAUUUCUUUGUUUUGUUUACAUAGGUUUCCAAGUCUGGGGUUGUCUUUAAGAGGCAGUGAAAGCUCCCAUUUACUGAGGGCUUACCACGUGCCAGAAUUCUAAGUCUUUUCAAGACUGAAUGGACCUCAGAGGAGAUGCGCUGGGAAGAAAACAACAAGUGAUAUUUUAAGACCUCUGCUUACAGCCUGGGUCUUCCCCCUGGAAGCUGAAGAUCCUGUCCUCAAAGUCUUUUAAUUGCUUGACUGAAGACUGAACACCUACCUUGUUCCACACCAAAGCCACUGCCUGGCAGAACAUUCCAGGACACAGGCUCUUGCAUUUUCCAGUCUGGAAGGUUCUACUUUCACGGCCUGACAGAGUGAGCCAGACCAGGGCCAUCAUGUUCAUGGUUCCAGCCCUACUAAGACUGGGCUCCAACAGCUGGGCCCUGCAGAGAGGACGAUGGGAGAAAGACCCUAGCACAGGCCAGAAGAAGGCCCCUGGCUGUCAUGGGGGCCACUGGCCUGGCCCUUGCACUUCCAAAGGAGCUGUUCUUGCCAAACUCCAAGCCCCCUCCCUAGGAGGCAUGCUGGCAAUAGUGGGCCAUGGCUUACAGGUAAGGAGCUGAGGAACCAGACCUUGCCCAGGGACUCACAUUGCUUUUAGAUAAAGGAAAGAACAUUCUCCAAAAAUGGAAUAUAUAGAUGUUUUCCUGCAAGUCCUGCAAACAUGUCUGACAGUGGACAGAUUUAGACAUUUCUAGUAUCUUCUAUAUUCUCAGAAGUUCUAGCAGUGGAUCAGAUCUAACCCAUGGAGUGCUAGGUUUUCUUUGUCUGAGUUCAGUAACCCAGUUCCAUCACUUCCUGGUCAUGGGACCUUGGACAAGCCACUUAAUUGCUCUGGCCUCAGUUUUCUCAUCUGUAAAGUGGGGCAAUAAUAUAUAGUAAUGAGGUAAUGCAUGCAAAGGGCAUCACCCAGGGCCCAGUGGGCAGUAAAUGCUCAGUAUGUGGUAUUCACAUUCCGUCUCUACUAUAGUUGGAUCUCUUUCAAGUAGUUUAGAAUUAGCUGAAGAUUCUUUUAUUUAAGACAUCUCAAUUUGCCUGUGAGAUAAUUAGCCUUUGAAAUUCUCACAAUUCCAUGCACACAGUAGAUGCUGCGUGAUACUUAGAGGAAUUUGAGUACCAUUGUGUGACCUGGUGAUAGGAUGCUGAUUCU